GUCCCCAGAAGCCGACGCGGUGUCCAAGUGCGCCGCUACUCCGUGCUGCCCCCCGGCCGCCCCGACACGCUUGCCGACCGCGUCCACCGCUACCGCGGCAUGCUCCUCGUCAUCCUCGUGCCGCUCGCCCUCGUCUCCCCCGUGUUCCUCCUCAUGCCGCGCUCGCCCGCGGGAGUAGGAGGUGCGGCCCCGUCGACACCUCGCCCAGGCCUACCAAGUACGCCGUCAUAUUCAUCGCCGGGAGCUCCGGGAGCGGCGUCCAUGUCUUCCACUUCGACGGCAACCUGGAUCAGCUCCACAUUGACGCCGAUAUCGAGCUCAUCGUCGAGAAAAAGCCAGGGCGUGACAAGACGCAUGUAAGAGUUGAGAUGAGCACUGCGGUAGGACACAGUAGAGCGUGCUGAUGCUGCUUUUGUGAUCUUCUAAGUUGUAUUAAUCCAUGCGCAAGCCACCGCCAGGCUAAGAGCAUUAGGGCCCUAGGAAGACGAUGGAAACGGAGCAGCUGGAUGGAAAAAACGACGGAAGUGGCAUGGUUGCAAUUUAACAAAAUUUCAGUGGCAUACUAUAUCACCGUUGAAGGGAGCUGCAGGGAAGAUCACAUCUAGGAAAGGGCAAAAAUGAAUGGCUGCUAUGUAAUAGAAAGCAUUAGUCUUUUGUGCAAAUCCAGAAAACCAUGGUGCUGGAUGUUUUUGUAAUGACAGAUGGUUGCUACAACUUGAAUUUUUUUAUCGACCAUGGGGAUAUAUGGUACAUAUCUGCUUGAUCAUGUGCUGUGCUUUCAUGCUGAAAAUUAUGGGAACAUGCUCCCAAUAUUACUUGUACAAUGGGUGUACCAUGUCAAUUUUUUUUCAUGUAGUGCUGUUAUUGGAGAGCAAGGAUGCUUCCAUAAUUUCAGUGUGAACUAGCACAAUGGAGUUCAUAGUGAACAAACAUAAAAACUGAGUCAGGUUUUGGAGUAUAUUUUCUUGUGCUUGAUAAUGUCUUGCUGUCAAAAUUUUCA